UACAGAGGUAGCAAGCGUUGUUCGGAAUGACUGGGUGUAAAGCGCAUGUAGGCGGUUUUAUAAGUUGAAUGUGAAAUCCCUUGGCUCAACCAAGGAACGGCAUUCAAUACUGUAAAACUUGAGUGCAGAAGAGGAAAGUGGAAUUUCUGGUGUAGCGGUGAAAUGCGUAGAUAUCAGAAGGAACAUCGGUGGCGAAGGCGACUUUCUGGUCUGUAACUGACGUUGAGAUGCGAAAGCUAGGGGAG
rnacentral:rRNA from 1 species